UCUACCUGGGAGAAUGAAUGAGCCACCUCUAAUGUUAGUCCAGGGACUCAACAAACUGAUUCUGCUGCACUUGAUUUCUGGAAAUAUUUUCUUUGUAUGUUUCUGAAACCAGCACAGUGGUGAAAUAAUAACUAGAUGCUUCUGAUUGAACUGUUUCUCCAACUUUUGACACUGGAUAUUUAAGAAUGAAACUACAGAAAACGAUUGUUGGCUUCAUAUCAAAUACUUGUCUGCAUUCAUUCAUAAUGCUAACUACAUAUUAGACACACACCACUAAAGGUGCAAAGAGAGAGAAAAAAAAUAAACAUUUACACUAAUGAUCACUCAUUUUUUGUAAAAUUGCAUUUAAAGAAAUAGAAGCAGGCACAAGUGUGCAACACACCUGAACUCCCCCACUUUGAUCUUUCCCCUGGGGUCCUUUUAGUUGCAGUGGGCCAGCUCUGGUAAGGAGGCAGGACUCAGAAGCCGCUUGGCAUCCAGCCCAGUCUUUGUGGGCCACUGGAGAGAUGGAUAGCUAGGUGCAGAAGUGCCCUGAGGCAGGUGUUAAAAUGUUGUUCUUAGUUCCUUGGUGGUAAUCAUUGCAAAACAAUCCUGUCUGCUCUAUUCGUAUCAACAAGCUGCUUUCCCUGGCUUGUUGCUAAGAGACAGGACUGUUGCUUACAAGUUGCUUAGUGCCUUAGACUUUCAUAAUUUAUAAUUUAUUAUCUUAGCAUAAAAAUUUGUGGUUUUUUUUUAAUUUUGUUUUUCCACCAACACAAUAAUUGUCACGUAAAACAAAGGUCAUGUAUCUACCAGAGUAGCAGUUGCUCUUAUAUACUUCACUUUUGUAUGGUUUAGGAUUCUGUGAAAAGAAAAUGCUAUUAUAAACUGAAGAUGAAUAUCAUUUUUGUCCAUUAACUUCUUGCGUUAUAUGACUGGUUAGGUCAAUGGAUUCCCUCAAGAUUUCUUCACUAUUGAAAACAUGUUUCUGUCCAACCAAGAAGGAAAUGAAUUGAAAUGAUUUCAGUUAUCACAUGAAAGACAUCGGCUCUUUUUGCUCUACACUUCAGCACCUAAUAGUUGAACUCAUCAGUCCUACUUUCAUGAAGUUCAGUGAUAGAGAUGUUUAACCAAUGCCAGAAAUUACUCUUGUGCAUUAAUCUAGCUUUGUGAAUAUACAAACCUUACCUUGCUAAAGUGUUUUGUACCUAACACUAGUUAAAUCAGCUCAGUGAGGAGUAAUGACAAAGUGGAAAUGAGAAUAAUUUGCAGACUUGUUAAGUUGCAAAAUAACUCUGUCACAGUUCACCAGUUUAAAGAAAAAAAAAAAAAAAAAAAAAAGAAAAAAAAAAAGAAGAACUCAUUGUUAUACACCCUCGUGGAAAUUAAGGAUACUGACCUCAGGUUAGGAUUUACUUGACUGUUUAACAGAAGAGCUGUACAUACAGCUGGUGUUGUGGUAUUAAACUAAAGCAUAUUUAAGAGCUUUACCAAUGCACAACCAUCAGCUACAUUGCCACUGUCAAUGCUUUAAAAAAAUGAAAGAAAAGUUACUUUUCCACCCUGAUUUCAGUGAGCUGUUUAAGCCAGUUAGAACCAAGAACAGCAUCAUACACAGCUGUAGAAAUGGUUAUGGAAAUGUCCUGAUGCAAAUAGUGCUUCCCCUGCAAGGCUUGUGAGGGAGUGUCUAUCCAGCAAAAUCAAGAACAGAAGACUGUGGUGCACAUCUUCUUGGCCAUGUGGAUGCCUACUUCAAUCCAAAGCAGGAUUCCUAAGGAUUAUACUAUUGUUCCUCUUUGGCCACAACAGCAGUGAAACUGCUGAUUCCCUCCAAAUCUGGCACCAGAGAAGUGUUAGCCCAGAGGCAAUACUUCAAGAAUGUAAGGACUACCUAAAACUAAACCAUAUCAUUAAGAACAUCAUCCAGACACUCCUGGAAGUCUUACAUGUUUGGUGCCAUGACCACUCCCCUGGGGAGCCUGUUCCAGUGGCUGACCACCUGCUCAGUAGAGAACUUUCUCCUAAUGUCCAAACCUACUACCUUAUUCUGCUGCACUACUUUUUACCUGUAAAAUUCUGUACUUUUCAUGGCUUGGAGUCUUUGAAUCAAAAUUGUACAUUGAUGUAAAAGUUACACUGUAGGUUCUACACAAGUUAUAAGCAUUAUACAGAAAUUCUCUGGUGUGGUUCUAAAGCCUGUGUGAUUCCAAAUUGUGGACAAUGUAAUUGAUAUUACACUAUGUGUAACCCAAA